rnacentral:rRNA from 1 species
UACCAGCACCCCGAGUGGUCGGGACGUUUAUUGGGCCUAAAGCAUCCGUAGCCGGUUCUACAAGUCUUCCGUUAAAUCCACCUGCUUAACAGAUGGGCUGCGGAAGAUACUAUGGAGCUAGGAGGCGGGAGAGGCAAGCGGUACUCGAUGGGUAGGGGUAAAAUCCGUUGAUCCGUUGAAGACCACCAGUGGCGAAGGCGGCUUGCCAGAACGCGCUCGACGGUGAGGGAUGAAAGCUGGGGGAGCAAACCGG